rnacentral:rRNA from 1 species
AGACGUCUACAUUAGAUACCCGUGUAGUCCCAGCCGUAAACUAUUCGCGUUAGGUGUAUCGGUGACCACGAGUUACCGAGGUGCCGAAGGGAAACCGUGAAACGUGCCGCCUGGGAAGUACGGUCGCAAGGCUGAAACUUAAAGGAAUUGGCGGGGGAGCACAACAACGGGUGGAGCCUGCGGUUUAAUUGGACUCAACGCCGGACAACUCACCGGGAACAACAGCAAUAUGUAGGCCAGGCUGAAGACCUUGCCUGAAUCGCUG